AAUCUACCAAGAGUCUGGACGACUGGUCAACGCUAGGAUAUCUGCGACUCCAAUGAGAUCUAUCCGAUCCAGUGGUACAAUGAGCGCCGCAAUGGUUCGGUGAACAUUCUUUCCCCAUCAAUUUCAGGCUGGAGACUUUUGUUCGAGUCCACAGCCGAGGAAUUCCCUCUACAGCCAAAGUCCGCCGAUGUCCUGCCACUGCGGACAUCUUCGCCCACACUUUGGUGAGCCUGCUCUCAGCCUCACGUUAGUAUUCCUUCGCAUGCUCAUGCUCCUCUCCUGGUCCUUCUCCCCCAACCAAAGCACCACCAUGGUAGGUCAUUGCCGCCGCUUCACGCAUCGAUAGACCUCGACACUGGAGCAUGACUAACCCAUCGCGUGCGCUGGCCGGCCACCCCGAGGAACGUCAAGGGGGGAGACACGAGACAGGACAGCACAGAAGCCGAAGGCGCAGAAGCAGGAACUGGAGGCAGUUCGUCAAAGGGCAGGGGAACACGGGAAGCUGCUGGAGCUCUGCCGCCAGAGGCAACGGGUCGAAGGGCCUAAUCCUCGUUUCAUGGUGAAUGCGUGAGUUGGCCCAAGUAAGUGGCUUGUAGUGACCUUUUUUUUAUUUAUAUAUAUAUUAAUUUAAAAAUUGUAAAAUUGUGUGGUCGUUUUUGAAAUUUGCACAAAUAGGAGGUAGGCGACAAGAACUUCAAGCACAUCCAAGGGGUGGGAGGUUUAAAAUUCAUAAAACAUUGCAUUUUAACGCUCUUAACCUUCAAAACACUAUAGAAAUAGUUAUAAAAAAUUCUGAAAAAAAAAGUAUAGUGUAGAGAAUACUAUCAUCUAGUGCUACACAAAUUUUUGGAUAGAAAUGUAACCUGUAAAAUAAGAAAUAGAAAAGACAAGUUCCAAUAAUAUUGAAAUUUAUCUUUUUUUUAUUUCUCGUUGUACAAGUAAUUGGCCCAGUUAAGAGACCGUAGAUGAGAGGGAUCCACUUGGGUAGGAGGAAGUUGAACGUCUCUGAGGAGGUGGUGGUGGAAUGGUGGCGGUGUAAUUUGUAUAUGGUCCUAUGUUUUAGAAGGCCCUAAGCAAACUCGACAUAGUGGGCCUAACGGUUAUAUAUAUAAUUUAUCUUGGACAAUAUGCCCAUUAAAUCAUGGAAAAAAUGAACAUUGUAUCAUAAACUCAGUGGUAAGAGUUCCAACUUCCAACAUGUUCUUAGUUCUUGACCACAAAUCAACAAUAUUACAGUAGAAAUUAUAAAAGAAAAGCAAAUUCCUACUAUCCUCUUCAUCAUAAUUUUCCUCAUUUUAAUUACCAUCGACUUAUUGCUCUUGUUCUUCGGUACUAUCAUCGUCUAAUUCACCAGGAUUAUCACUGGGGAUUGCAUCACUUAAAAAAAACUUAUGUAUAGUACCCCUUUGUGAUUCAAUAAUAUAAUCUACUCAGCCUUUUCUUUCAACAACAGACAAAUGCUUUUCAGCAACAUUCGUACAACAAAAUAAGAUAAAAAAAAAACUUAAGAAAAAAAAGAAAACCAGAAAUAUGCGCAUAAAUCGACAAUCUGGACAGCAAGAAGAUGUCAUCCGUUCAUUACCCCUAUGGCUCUAAACAAGAUAGUGCACACGGUUUGUAAAACAGAAAAAAAAAGACAAGUGAAAUUAGAAAGGUAAAACGUGGAUGAACCAAGGGGCCAAGAUUGCUUGCAUAAAGUUAAAUAUUUUCUUAAUUUGAUUCUUGCGAAUCUCAGUUGUUGUUUAAUGUAUGCCAAGUAUCUACAGUAUUGAUACGUGAAAAGGGGCAAUAAAUGUUGAACUCUAAUCGACAGAUCUUUUAUGAGUGGCGAAAUCCAUUGGGAGAUGGGGAAAUUGAAGAUCUAAUUGCAGUAAUUAAUUUGUGAAGAGGAUAACCUCGAGGGGUUAUGAGUUUUUUCCUACUAAUGGGGGAUUUCCCUUCAUCACCCCAUGAGGUGGUCCACAGGGUUCAUAACUAGCCCUCUUACUAUUGGGUGUUCACUUGGCCAACAUUUUGAUCCGGCUCUAUCCAAACUUAUUUUAGGUCACCCCAACAUUACCCACCUAUCCGAUUGCUAGCAGUUUUGGGAUACCAAACUACUGUCAAGGUGGUUUAGUCGCUUCAAUUUUGGAAAACAGGGUAGAGUCACAAAAGAGCUGCACAUCUCUUCUCUACUACUUAAAAAGUCUCUAAUGAGUCACACGCCCACCAUGAGUCCCAUGAAUCCCACGACCACCCUGAAUCCCAUGUCCACCCCUAAAUCCUUGCAUCAUCGGACGACUGGUAUCCAUUCUAUGGUCCUACCUAUUUGUUCUGCGGCGUCUGAUCCAUCGUGUCAUGUCACUGCCCCACUCCCCCAGGCCGCUGCCUCUAUGCUCUCGCUCUCCACCACACGCCCUCACCCUCCAUUGCGCCGCCCUCGCCCACGCAUCACCGAGUCCCACACAACCGCAUCAACAUCCUCGGUGUCAUCUUUCUCCGUAGAACUAGAUCUGGAAGACGACGACCCCCUCCUUCCCCCACCGCCGUGAGUGACCAGUGCGAGCAGCCACGAGGAUACGCGGUGCCUGACCCACUGCCAUUUUCUCUUAGCAUUGGCGAAGACGACGAUGAUGAAUUCCUCAUCGACGGCCAGCAACACGAGCAAUUGUGGUCACAGGUGACGUCCCGACCUCCCCCUUCGACCGACAUUGAAGAGGAGGAGGACGACUUCAUCCUCGUUGGUGCCAAGCGACCGGCGUAAGUGGGGUGCAAAACCGCUAGACCCUCCGUGGCAGGCCGCCUUUAGCCAGGCGGUGAGUGGAGAACAGCAGCAACGGGGGCUCGCAGGCGAUGAUGACGGGGAGGACUUGGGCGAGGCACUCGCGAGGACACAACAUCUCGUGGAGUGCGCCAUGUUUGCCGCUAUUGUGGGCCUCGCCUACUUCCUCAAUAACUUCCUCACCAUCGAGGUGCUGCUGGUGAGGAAGAGCCGGUGUUUGGCUACUUCAUACCUGCCGUUCAGGGUGACGGGCAAGAGUAGUGCAUCCUACCCUUGGAGGUCAUGCUUUUGGGGUGGAGCCUAAGGGCAUGUGGCUCCACUCUCUUUUGUUGUAGGUUUAUGUUUUCGCUGUGUAGAUGUUAUUACCUUUUAAUGUAAAUCGUUGAAAAUGGUUGCAUGCUUAAGAACUUGUAAUAUAACUUUAAUUACCUGCUCUUUCUUAAGCUAUACUGUGAUGCUAAA